GACGAACGCUGGCGGCGUGCUUAACACAUGCAAGUCGAACGGAAAGGCCCUGCUUGCCGGGUGCUCGAGUGGCGAACGGGUGAGUAACACGUGGGUGAUCUGCCCCUUACUUUGGGAUAAGCCUGGGAAACUGGGUCUAAUACUGGAUAGGACCAUGCUGUAGGUGGUGUGGUGGAAAGAUUAUUUUCGGUAAGGGAUGAGCUCGCGGCCUAUCAGCUUGUUGGUGGGGUAAUGGCCUACCAAGGCGUCGACGGGUAGCCGGCCGGAGAGGGUGGACGGCCACAUUGGGACUGAGAUACGGCCCAGACUCCUACGGGAGGCAGCAGUGGGGAAGAUUGCACAAUGGGCGCAAGCCUGAUGCAGCGACGCCGCGUGGGGGAUGACGGCCUUCGGGUUGUAAACUCCUUUCAGCCAUGACGAAGCCCUUGUGGUGACGGUAGUGGUAGAAGAAGCACCGGCUAACUACGUG
rnacentral:rRNA from 1 species